UAUCACCUUAUCCGGGAUCCUCAUAUGGAUAACUGCGGAAAUACUGGAGCUAAUACAUGCAACUAUACCCCAACGCAAGGCGGGGUGCAAUUAUUAGAACAGACCAAACGUUUUCGGACGUUGUUUGUUGACUCUGAAUAAAGCAGUUUACUGUCAGUUUCGACUGACUCUAUCCGGAAAGGGUGUCUGCCCUUUCAACUAGAUGGUAGUUUAUUGGACUACCAUGGUUGUUACGGGUAACGGAGAAUAAGGGUUCGACUCCGGAGAGGGAGCCUUAGAAACGGCUACCACGUCCAAGGAAGGCAGCAGGCGCGAAACUUAUCCACUGUUGAGUAUGAGAUAGUGACUAAAAAUAUAAAGACUCAUCCUUUUGGAUGAGUUAUUUCAAUGAGUUGAAUACAAAUGAUUCUUCGAGUAGCAAGGAGAGGGCAAGUCUGGUGCCAGCAGCCGCGGUAAUUCCAGCUCUCCUAGUGUAUCUCGUUAUUGCUGCGGUUAAAAAGCUCGUAGUUGGAUCUAGGUUACGUGCCGCAGUUCGCAAUUUGCGUCAACUGUGGUCGUGACUUCUAAUUUGCUGGUUUGAGGUUGGGUUCGCCCUUCAACUGCCAGCAGGUUUACCUUGAAUAAAUCAGAGUGCUCAAUACAAGCGCUUGCUUGA
rnacentral:rRNA from 1 species